rnacentral:rRNA from 1 species
GAUGAACGCUGGCGGCGUGCCUAAUACAUGCAAGUCGAGCGAACAGACGAGGAGCUUGCUCCUCUGACGUUAGCGGCGGACGGGUGAGUAACACGUGGAUAACCUACCUAUAAGACUGGGAUAACUUCGGGAAACCGGAGCUAAUACCGGAUAAUAUAUUGAACCGCAUGGUUCAAUAGUGAAAGACGGUUUUGCUGUCACUUAUAGAUGGAUCCGCCCCGCAUUAGCUAGUUGGUAAGGUAACGGCUUACCAAGGCAACGAUGCGUAGCCGACCUGAGAGGGUGAUCGGCCACACUGGAACUGAGACACGGUCCAGACUCCUACGGGAGGCAGCAGUAGGGAAUCUUCCGCAAUGGGCGAAAGCCUGACGGAGCAACGCCGCGUGAGUGAUGAAGGUCUUCGGAUCGUAAAACUCUGUUAUUAGGGAAGAACAAAUGUGUAAGUAACUAUGCACGUCUUGACGGUACCUAAUCAGAAGGCCACGGCUAACUACGUG